rnacentral:rRNA from 1 species
AUAUCAAUAAGUGGAGGAAAAGGAACCAACAGGGAUUACCCUAGUAACGGCGAGUGAAGCGGUAACAGCUCAAAUUUAAAAUCUGGCCUUCACGGGUCCGAGUUGUAAUUUGUAGAGGAUGUUUCGGACAAGGCUGUGGUUUAAGUUUCUUGGAACAGAACGUCACAGAGGGUGAGAAUCCCGUCUAGAACCGAUAGCCGUGUCCAUAGUCGAAACUC